rnacentral:tRNA from 1 species
GCCGGCGUGGCGGAAUUGGUAGACGCACAGGACUUAAAAUCCUGCGGGACUUACCUCCCGUACCGGUUCGAUUCCGGUCGCCGGCA